rnacentral:pre_miRNA from 1 species
GGUGUGUGUGUGUGUGUGUGUGUGUGUGUGUGCGCAUAGAAGCCUCGCACUUGUUCAGCACUGCCACCUCCGCA